rnacentral:rRNA from 1 species
AUCGAACGCUGGCGGCGUGCUUAACACAUGCAAGUCGAGCGGCAGCGCGGGAGCAAUCCUGGCGGCGAGCGGCGAACGGGUGAGUAAUGCUUCGGAAUCUGCCCUUCAGUGGGGAAUAACCAGUCGAAAGACUGGCUAAUACCGCAUACGAACUGAGGUUGAAAGCAGGGGAUCGCAAGACCUUGCGCUGAUGGAUGAGCCGAAGUCGGAUUAGCUAGUUGGUAGGGUAACGGCCUACCAAGGCGACGAUCCGUAGCUGGUCUGAGAGGACGACCAGCCACACUGGGACUGAGACACGGCCCAGACUCCUACGGGAGGCAGCAGUGGGGAAUAUUGGACAAUGGGGGCAACCCUGAUCCAGCGACGCCGCGUGUGUGAAGAAGGCCUGCGGGUUGUAAAGCACUUUUAGUGGGGAGGAAGGUCUGCGACCUAACACGUCGUGGAAUUGACUUAACCCACAGAAAAGCACCGGCUAACUCUGUGCCAGCAGCCG